AAAAAAAAAAAAAAAGUUACACACUUUUUCAUCUGAGCCCUGGACUCUCUUGCGUUCUCCUCUCUCAAACCGCUUCUCAUCUCACUUGGGUGAUCUCCGUCUCUGUCUCGUGGCUUUACUCACCAGUGAAGGUUUCUCAAAAAGAUCAAAAUCACUUUGAUAUAGUGGAACUGGAAGGUUAGGAUCAAAACCCUAAUUCCAUAAAAUAUGCAAAAUCUCUUAAUUGCCAUGUUUGUUUUGUUUCCCCAAAUUCUUUGUUUGUUUUUUCGGAAGCAACACAGAAAUCGAAGAUGGUAGACAUUGAGAGUUCAUGUAUUAUCUACACUUUAUAGGUUUGAACUGAUUUGCUCUCUUCUUGUAGGUUUUUUCAGAUGGCUAGUCAUGUUUAUUAUAUUUGGAUUUUUUAGGACUGGAGUCAAAUAUGUUGAUCAUGUAGCAAUUAAACUUUGCAAGCUCAAUUUUGUGCUUGGCAAUAACAUUAAUUACCUCUCCAUUACAGAGGAAAUAUAAUUAUGGCUAAUAGGAUGGUUUUCUAAUGGUCUAUUAGGAGUACAUAUUUGUUAGUAUUGUUAUCUUUUUAGUAUAAUGCUUCUCCCCCCCUCUCUUCACAUCGCCUUAAAUCUAGUCACCAUUAUUGUAGCUGAUUUGGCUGUAUAUAGUAUGUUAGAGCCUCAGUUUGUUUUUUCCAAGUACAACUAUAAUUUUAGUCCUUAUUUUUUAGAAGAGUAAAUUUCAUCUUAAAUUGGGUUUGACUUCUAAAUGGGAAUUUAUAUACAUAUAUAUAUAUAUAUAUAUAUUGCUAGGCCAGGGUUGUUCCCUUCAAGGGAAUAUAUAUAGUUCAGUUGGAGAAGUCAUGCUUCAAUGUAAAAUUAUGCUUCAGGCUAUAUUUGGUGCGACGUGCUUUUAUGUUGGUCAAUGAAAUGAAUUUCUUUGGGUAAUGAUUGUUUAUUAAGAACCUACUUUAAUAUUUUGAAUCUUAUUUGAUAUAAAUAGGUUUUUUUGGCUUGGACUUGUUGUCCAUAUAUGCUAUUGAAUUCUUGAUAAUUAGGCAAGUGGCAAAACAAUUGAUGAUUAUGCAUGAAGAAUACUUGCAUAGAAAUCAAUAGGUCUCAGCUGUAAGUUAAAAGAUUUUUUCUCAAAGUAGAGAGGUAACCAUAGUUAUAACCAUCAGACUAAAAUAUUCUUUACUUCAUGUCUUUGCUAUGCAUCUUCUCAUGUCAUAUGAAGCAACAUUUCAUUCUUUAAGGUUUCUUUUCGUUGAAAAUUUAAAAAGUUUUGAUGCUAUGUUAGAAGAUUCAAGUUACAAUGUAAAAUAAGAGGUUGAGACUGAUUAUGUUUUGAAAGUAUUGAAUUUCUUAUGGAAACAAGGUCGAUUGGGUUACACACAUAUUUUGCUGGUAAGUCCAACUUUUUUGAUCUCUUAACAAUUAAUUACUUGUGUUUCUUGAUUAAUUGUCCUAGUUUAGUUGAUGUGUUUUUCAUCAUCCUCUCAUUCUUUUUUCUUUUUUUUUUUCCCUCUCUCUCUCUUUUUGUUGUAUACAAUUUUCAUUAGACGACACUAGUAUUUAUAGAGGUAGAGAGUUAACAUGCACUAAAGUUUCAUAUUGUUCAACCAAUUUUUGGGUUCAUUUUGAUGAUAGUAGGUUCUAAAAUAAAUUUGCUAUAGGCCACCUUUAGUGCAUAAUUUGGUAUAUCCUAUAUAUGUCACUAUGAAACCUGCUUAUUGGAAGACCAAAGUUAAGUUUUACUUUGUGUUUUUGUUCUUGCAAAUAAACUAGUUAUACUUUUUUUUUUUUUUUUAAGAAGAAAAAAGAAAAGGGGGCUAGUUAUAUUUGUCCUCUAUGGCAGGAGAGGUAAGUUUGAUUUUUUAUUCUGCUAUGUUGUUUAUUGUUUGUGUGUGGGCUGCUGUAAUAUCCCAACAAACUGUAGUGUUAAUUAAUGAGGAUUAUGUACUUAUUCAAUCUUUGGAAAUCUGAUUUACUUAUUUUUAUACAUAAUUCCUUGAACUUAUAAGAUUCAGCUUUGAAGAGUGUGAAUAUUAAUUUUCAUGUGCUGAUUGAAGCUAAGUCCUUGUUUUAAGUUUUAAGUUUAACCCUAAAUGACUACACAAAAUUGUAAUUGCAAUGACUGAGUUCUAUGCUGCCUUAUGGCUGCCCAGGGGUAUUUUGGUUACUUAAUUAAGAAUGCUAAUGCAAGUAAGAAAAUCAAAGAAUGGCUUGUUAAUACUCUGCCAUUUGGUUAUUUAGAAAAUGUCAUUUUGGAAAAAAUCAUUUACUUUGCAUUUGGUAGACAAGCUGUAAAAACCUAAUGAAUUAUUAAACCCUUGCAAUUGAAUUGAAUGUGUUUCCUUCGUUAUAUGAUUGAACAUGAACGUGAAUAUAAUGAUUUUUCUUUGGUUAUGUGAAUCAUGUUUUUUGAUAUAUGUAUCUUGUGUUUUGGGAACCUCUUUGAGGUAGGAUUAGAAUUUCCUUUAUUUUGAGAGCUAGGUUUUAGAGAUGUAUGUAUAAGUUUAUGCUAAGGUAGAAUUAAUAGUAAUAAGCUUUGAUAUUUGGUAUAGGUAUUACCAGCGUCCAAGUCUGAGCUCCUUCGACCUUAGGCUCUUGAUUUCUCUGCUUUUAGUCAACAAGUUUUAUUCUGGAGCAAAGGGAGCCUUAGUCGAGUUUUGGGAGGAACUAGUUUUAGCUUUAAAAGAAUUGCCCCUGUUUUGAAAGUUUGAUGCUUAGCUUUGUAGUAUUGUGUAUUUUAGGAUCUAAUGAAAGUUGUGUACUUUAAUAUAUUAAGAGAUGUAUUAUGUGAAAUUCUGAAAUUGAAUGACUGGUGGAUUAAGUUAUCCCUUGGAGUACAAUGUAGAUGCUUUGAAUAUUAAGUGAAAAAUUAUAUAUUAAAGUAAAGAAAUAACAAUGAAAAGAAAGAGGAAAGCUUUUGUUUAAAA